GGCAGGGUAGCUCAGUGGUAGAGCAGAGGAAUCAUAAUCCUUGGGUCGUGGGUUCGACUCCCACCCCUGCUA
rfam:Candidatus Buchananbacteria bacterium RIFCSPHIGHO2_01_FTLL_39_8 rifcsphigho2_01_scaffold_21182, whole genome shotgun sequence.